CCUACGGGUGGCAGCAGUGGGGAAUAUUGGACAAUGGGCGAAAGCCUGAUCCAGCCAUGCCGCGUGUGUGAAGAAGGCCUUCGGGUUGUAAAGCACUUUCAGUGGGGAAGAAAGCCUUGGGGCUAAUACCCUCGAGGAAGGACAUCACCCACAGAAGAAGCACCGGCUAACUCCGUGCCAGCAGCCGCGGUAAUACGGAGGGUGCGAGCGUUAAUCGGAAUUACUGGGCGUAAAGCGCGCGUAGGCGGUCUGAUAAGCCGGUUGUGAAAGCCCCGGGCUCAACCUGGGAACGGCAUCCGGAACGGUCAGGCUAGAGUGCAGGAGAGGAAGGUAGAAUUCCCGGUGUAGCGGUGAAAUGCGUAGAGAUCGGGAGGAAUACCAGUGGCGACGGCGGCCUUCUGGACUGACACUGACGCUGAGGUGCGAAAGCGUGGGUAGCAAACAGGAUUAGAUACCCCUGUAGUC
rnacentral:rRNA from 1 species